UACGUAGGGUGCAAGCGUUAAUCGGAAUUACUGGGCGUAAAGCGUGCGCAGGCGGUUUUGUAAGUCUGUCGUGAAAUCCCCGGGCUCAACCUGGGAAUUGCGAUGGAGACUGCAAGGCUGGAGUCUGGCAGAGGGGGGUAGAAUUCCACGUGUAGCAGUGAAAUGCGUAGAGAUGCGGAGGAACACCGAUGGCGAAGGCAGCCCCCUGGGUCAAGACUGACGCUCAUGCACGAAAGCGUGGGGAGCAAACAGG
rnacentral:rRNA from 1 species